rnacentral:lncRNA from 1 species
CAGAACACACUGUGUUGUUCUAGUUCAAGGUUCACUGACGACAGCGGGGAUUACGUCGAUUCUACCGACACCCUCGGGCUGUGCUUCGGAAAGCACUGCCACCCUCACCGGCCCCACCGUGGCACCGCCUCCCGCGGGAAGCCCUCCCUGAGCUCCCGCUGCCGGGACACCUGCUCACAAGACCCCAUGAGAUCAAGACCACGUGGUAACCUGCCCCACUCGUGGUCCCCAAGGGUCCUUGUCCCUGCUUCCCCAACGACCGUGGCUUCCGGAUGUGCAACGCCUGUGCCCUAGAUUCUCCAGCUACUUGAUAAGCGUCUUUCAACAAAAGGUGAACGGAGAAACGCUCAUGACAGCCCGGGAACCCGAUGUGUAUAAUGUCGGCGUGGCCACGGUGAGCCCCGUGUGCUUGCUUAUUAAGACGUACGCUGAGGAGGUAAUUGUCUGCCCCACAGUUACAAAUGACCAUCUCUAUUUCACUUCUCGCCAUAUAGAAAAAUGGAAAUGCAGCACGUGAUUUAGUGAGUAGAGCUUCAUAGGGCUUUCCUUUUAUUUAAUUGCCUGUUUUCCUUGAGCAGAUCUACUAUCCUGAUGUUUUUGACCCCCUUCCUUUCGGACCCCUUGCAGGGUAAUGAGCAAUGAAUGAGUGGCUUUCUCGGGGAGGACGGUGCUUCCCACCGUCGGCAGCUCUCGGACUGACGUGCUGUGAGGAACAUGCCUCUAUCCUGGCGCUCCCGCGGGUCGGGCUCGACGAGGAGGCGGUGAGGGGCGGGGGGAGGUCUUCUGUCCUCGGGAAGCAAUAACCCCUCUUCCCAAAGCGCUCUAGGAAGUUCUCUCCCAGUGUGCUCCAGAGAUCACUAUCCCUUGCUAUGCACUCUGGGGCCGGCUCCCUCCUCCGCAGACGCGCGGGGCCACGGCUCUGCUCUGGAGAAAGUUAAGCACUUUCAAAGCCUCUGAGUUUCCGCUCCAAAGGCUGAUUACAAAAAGAACCCACACUCUCUGUAUUUCAUGCUCCCCAUUCCGUAGUCCAGAGAGGUUUCCUCUUGUGCUAACUGGAAGCUUCCCUUUCACAGCCCCUCACUCUGCUGGUCCGUUUUGUCUCUGCACAGAAGGGGUUCCCUCCACUCCGUGGCUGUGCCAGCUUAUCUCCCCAAAUCACAUACACGUGCCUCAAUCCUGCCAGGCUGUCUCCUUCCAACUGUGGACAUCAUUCUGCCGAUCCACCGAUCGAUUUCCUGGAUGUUCUAAGUAAUCUGACCUCGAUACAGCCGCGUUUGAGAGGAGGAACACCCCAGUCCCCCUACUUCUCCGCCUUCUUAACUCCUCUCAAAAAGAUGUCAAUUAAGUGAGGCGAACGACCAGGUUUCUUAGUUUAUUUUAGUGAUGCCGCCACAGAGGUGUCCUGACUAGUCAACAGUGAAUUGCUGUGGUGACUGCCAGACUGCGGACGGGCUAAGGUCCAAUGAAUCUGCAACUGUGAAGAAAUGAGAAGCCUGUGUGCAUAUGUGCGUGCACUCGUGUGAGUGUGUGUGUGUGUGUGUGUGUGUGAUGUGCACAGAAGGGAUGUGCGUGUGUGCACGUGUGGAUGGGGGUGUGUGUGCGGAUGGGUGUUGCUGGGUGUGCGUGUGCGUGUGUGGAUGGGAUGAGCAGACAAAGACAGAUGAGAUGGACGGACAGACAGACAGCUGUCCCCCAGCGGUCCCGGACACUCCCCCUCUGUGGCCCCCUGACCUGCUUUGGCCAACCACGUGUGAACGGCGGCCACACGUCCUUCCGGGCACACUGGGAAGCCCCAGCUGCCACUCAGCUCCGUCGGCCUCGGCCGCGAGCCUCUGAGAUUUGGGGAGUUUUGUUCACCGUAUUCUAGUCCGCAUUUACGAGCUCAUUAUGGGAAGAAUCUUCAUCUCACUUCUGAUCUCAGACCCGGCGGUGCUGACCGUUCGCCAUGGAGUCAGACUGCCGGGGCUGAGGUCGCUCUGCCGCCUAGCUGAGCAACCCUGGGGGAGUCUCCAGCUCUCCGUGCCUCAGUUUCCAUGCCUAUAAAGCGGGGACGAAGCCAGCACCGCCCCAGGGGUCAUGCGGGAUGAGAUAAGUAGCAGGUGCGGUGCCCGUGGGGAGACAAGUGCGGAGCGUGGGGGCAUCACGUGACGUGUGGAAGUGACGGUGGCCUUGUACUCCGCGGGGGCUCCCGCUCGCCCGAGCUGCCCUGGUCAAACCGCGCUGGGUGUCAGCACCAGCAGCACGGGAGCCGCGUGGCUUCUGCACUGUGUGCGUUUUCCCACCGCACCCGUUGAGGGUUCUAAGACCCGUUGUCCAGAGCGUUGGGGCCAGAUUUUAAAGAAGUAAAAGCGACAAGCUUUAUGACACAAGCCUACCCCAGGGCCUCCGAUGCCACGACACGCCUACACACUGCGUGCUGUGCACCAGAAUCACCCGCGCCCAACUCCGGGGCCGCGGCUGAGCCGGGGGACAGAGACUGGCCUGGAGAAGCCCCAGUCCCAAGAUUCGGCCCGUGGGAUGCGGUCGGGCAGCGCAGGAUCAGGGCAGGGACAGCCGGCGGGGGGAAGGGCGCCCGGGGUCUGGGCCAGGGCUCCUGUGAGUCAUAUCCGGUCAGGGUAGAGCCACCGUCCCGGGGUCCCCGAGGGACAGCCUGCGGGCCUUCGUUUUCUGUUUAAUGGGCCGUUUGUAUGAAUGUGUGCACAGGAGCGUCGUCAAAAUUCCUGAGUUUUCUGGGAUAAACUCAGCCCCCAAGGCCUGAGGGGGACGUGCGGGCAACCCUGUGCCCAGGGCACCCGGAUGCCCAGACGCCCACAGCUCUCUGCCAUCUGACCCCAACCUGACCCUGAUGCCCACUGCUCUGUGGGCUCGUGUGGCUGUUAACGGCCCCCUGUGGCUUUUCCAGGCCUUCUCUGUCCC